rnacentral:snoRNA from 1 species
CUGAGGCUCAUAAGCAUGAUGAUGGGGUGUUCACACUUACUGUGUGAAAGUGUUUCCCUCUGAACUUCAUU